rnacentral:misc_RNA from 1 species
AGGCUAUGCCUUGCAGGAGCUUCAUCACUGCAGGACCAAUCAAAGGAAUCAGUCUCAAUCUCAGGUACAACCACAGAUAAAAUUGGCAAGCCAGGUCGGUAUUUAGCCACCAGUUUUGCGGUACUUCCUCCCCUGGUUAAGACCAAUAUGAGAGAUGCUUUUGCUGAAUUGGCUGUUCUAACAGCAGAAGAUGCCAGACUCUCCAAUGGGCUCAUGGGCACAGGUGA